UACGUAGGUGACAAGCGUUAUCCGGAUUUAUUGGGCGUAAAGCGCACGCAGGCGGCUGAUUAAGUCUGACGUGAAAUCUCUCGGCUUAACCGGGAGCGGUCGUUGGAAACUAAUUGGCUUGAGGCGAUGAGAGGGGUGUGGAAUUCCCGGUGUAGUGGUGGAAUGCGUAGAUAUCGGGAGGAACACCGGUGGCGAAGGCGGCCAUCUGGACGGAUACUGACGCUGAGACGCGAAAGCGUGGGUAGCAAACAGG
rnacentral:rRNA from 1 species